rnacentral:tRNA from 1 species
GCCUGGGUGGUGAAACGGUAUACACGCAGCUCUCAAAAAGCUGUGACCCUUUAAAGGUCAUGAGGGUCCAAAUCCCUCUCCAGGCA